CACGUAGGGUGCGAGCGUUGUCCGGAAUUACUGGGCGUAAAGCGUGCGCAGGCGGCUUUGCAAGACAGAUGUGAAAUCCCCGGGCUUAACCUGGGAACUGCAUUUGUGACUGCAUGGCUGGAGUGCGGCAGAGGGGGAUGGAAUUCCGCGUGUAGCAGUGAAAUGCGUAGAUAUGCGGAGGAACACCGAUGGCGAAGGCAAUCCCCUGGGCCUGCACUGACGCUCAUGCACGAAAGCGUGGGGAGCAAACAGG
rnacentral:rRNA from 1 species